GGAGAGGCGACGAACACGAGGGCGAGAGACAAAGACAGAGAGGCGACGGAUGAACACACAUUUGGUUUGACGAGGAUUGACAUGUCAACGAGUUCAAACAAUGAUGCUGGAUUCUUUCAAAAUAAAAGAUGCAAAUCUGGGAAAAAAUGAGGAGUGUACAUAUCAGAAUUAGAGAAAAAUCCAGGGAAGUUGUAUUUCAAGUGUGCAAAUAAGGCUUGUGACUACUUUGUGUGGGGAGUGCCUCCUACUAGAAACAAUGAAGUUGUGAAUAUCUUGGAACGACUUGACGCAAACCAAUGAGAACGACUUGAAGCUAUCAAAUUCAUGAUGUUGACAACCAUAGUGAUGUUUGCUUUUAUCAUGCUAGUGGUGUUGCUCAAGUGAACUUGUAUUUAUACUGAGUGUAAACCACUACUUGUAGAACUUGUAUUUAGUUUUGAAACUUUUAUAUGUGCAUGUACAAUCCAAACAAUGUUUAUUUAAUGAAGUUGCUAUGCUAUGUCAAUUGUGUUAAUUAAUGAAA